ACCUGAAGCCUCUGGAGCGCAGUGGGAGUUCCCACUGGGCUCCGGAGGCUUCAGGU
rnacentral:miRNA from 1 species